CUGACCGAUCGCCCCCUCCCCCAGUUGCCAAGUCAGGGUAACAAGUCAGGAGAUUCACUAUGUGUGACAGCAAGGAGUGACAUGUAUGCAGCCACAGAAAUUUGAGGUUCGGAUCUGCAUGAACAGAGAAGAGCCACACAAUGAUUUUUAAAAGAUCAAAGUAAGUUUAUUAUAAAAGUACAGCAGAUAAUAAGCAUAGUCAAAUAAUACCACACAAGGUAAGGGACAGCACCAAAGAUGAAGGGGAAUCCUCCAGGGGAAGGAUCUUUUAUGAGAUGGAGCCUUCAACAAGCAAGAGAGAAAACACCACACCAUACCCAGUUUCUCUGUUCCUUAAGUACUGCAUUCAGACAAAAGUGACUUGGUCCCAACAGGCCUGCGUGGCUAGAGGGACUGUUCCCAGGCUUGGCUUCUCAGAACCUUCUCAGAGCGAGCAGUACUUCAUGUGUUAACAGUUAUCUCUGUACACUCCUUUCCCAGGAGGUUGCCAGCCUCCCUGCAGAAGGGCAUUCAGCCAGUGUCACCUCAGUGAACACACACAUUCCAGAUGACACUCGUUUUAACCUUUCCCUGACAGUGUGCUACCCAAAAAGAGUGGGAACUUGAAGUAACUGGGAUCCUGCUCACAGGGAUCUGACCAGCGUGGUCCACACUGAGCCCACUACAGCAUAAGCUCCAGAGAGCAAGACAGUUUUGGUUAGCUGGGUGCUGUGGCACAUGCCUCUAAUCCCAGCUAUUCAUGAGGCUGAGGCAGGAGGACCCCAGCCUAGGUAACUUAGCAAGGUCCUCUCUCAAACUGUAAAUAAAAGGCUGAGGAUAUGGCUUAGUAGAGCACGUGCCUAGCAUGCAUGAGGCCUGGUUCAAUUUCUAGUAGAGCCAGAAAAAAAAACAAACCAGGAAAUGCUUACCUCUUGAAGUCAGUGUUGGCAGCAUGGAACAUCCCUAGCAUAUUCUUCCCAGCUAUAAGCAAAAGCUUUUAGCAGCCUGGCGUGGUAGUGCAUGCCUGUCAUCCCAGCACUUGAGAGGCUGAGGCAGGAGAAUUACAGUGAGUUCAAGCCCAGCCUGGGCUACAUAUUGAGUUCAAGGUCAGCCUGAACUACAUAGUGAGACCCUGUCUGAACUUCCCCCCCAAAAAAGGCUUUUAGGAAACCAGAAAUGCUAUGAUUAUCUCUCUUGUCUUCAGUUCCCUGAUUUCUCAGAUUUCAAAGAUGAGAUUUCCAGAGAUUGUCAGACACUUCCUAUUGCCCAACAGCUCAACUAAAGUAACAAGCAAGAGAACCAAGCAUAGUACCUAACAGCUCCUGAGAAUACUCUUUCAGCCCUAUCAAGGCCCCAAUUUAGUCUGAAUAUGAUUUGUCCCUGCCAGAAUUCAUACUAAGGCUUUGUACUUGUGACUACUGUGAUUGUUAGCCUGACUGGAUCAAAAAGCCUGCCAGAUUAGUGACACACUUCCAGGUGCAUCCAAGUGGGGCAUGGUGGUCUGACCUUGGACUCUGCAUCUGUUUCCCAGCCCUUUCCUCUCCACUCUCCUAACAACCCACUUUGCUUUCCCGCCUCCAUGAGGUGAGCAGCUGUUCUCCCCAGGCCUUUUUACCAUGUUUCUGCCUUGGAGCAAGGCAUGGACUGCACUACCUGAAACCAUGAACCAAAUCAACCUCUCCUUGAAGCCUGUGGGUGUCAGGUGCUUUGUGCCAGCGGAGGAAAGGUAAUAACACAGUGGCUAGCAUAGUGUGGAGAGAAAGCGCGAUCUUUAACAGCUGUUUGCAUAAUAGGUAUGGAACGUGAUUCAUUCCUUUCUCACAGGGCUAGGUUGAUUUUCAAGGUAGGAUCGAGUUCUCACUCUUGCAGGGCUGGACUAGUUACCACAAGAGCUGGUUGCUUUAAAGUGAGGCUGCUUGUGCUUUGCCUCUUGCUUCUUCCCUUACAUGUGCCCGCCUGUCCCCAGCUGCCUUUGUGCUUUCCACCCUGAGCUGAUGUAGCUUGAAGCCCUCCCCAGUGGCCUUCUCAGCCCCCAGAACUGCAAGCGAAAAUAAAAUUGUUUAUAAAUCACCCAGUCUCAGAUAUUCUCUGACGGUAACAGAAAAUAGACACCCUAAGACAGCCACAAAUCCUUGUUUUUUUCUUUUUUUCAGGUACUGGGGGUUGAACCCAGGGCAUUCACACUGGGCUACUUCA
ensembl:lncRNA